rnacentral:lncRNA from 1 species
AUGCUCCAGCAGGGCACUGACGACCUGGAGCCAGAGCAUGCUAAAGGGAGGUGAGGCGGUUGCAAGCAGCAACGCCCGCACGCGAUCGUCCACGACAGGCACCAGCCAAUUCACCCAUUAGCCCAGGAAUUCGGCCCAUAUAAACAGCCAUGGUCAUUCAUUUCCAUCUCUAGACUCAUGAAUUGUACGAUGAUCUUUGUGAAUACCCAGAGCGGGUAUUUGGCCACCGUUAAAGAGAUGUAAGAGUCCUUGCC